CCUGCCCCUAGAAAUGUUACAGGUGGCUGCUGUGUCACAUGUGCGUCAGUAGGUAGCAGAGAGAAGAUGCUGUCUAUACUAAGGGUUCUGACCUAUGAACAUCUGAAUGACUAGAAGCCUAACAUU